rnacentral:rRNA from 1 species
UAAGACGAGCCUGACAAACGUUAUUCGGAAUUACUGGGCUUAAAGGGUGCGUAGGCGGUGUGGUAAGUCAGGCGUGAAAUACCUCAGCUUAACUGAGGAACUGCGUCCGAUACUACCAUGCUAGAGUGAGACAGAGGUGAGUGGAACUGAGGGUGGAGCGGUGAAAUGCGUUGAUAUCCUCAGGAACACCGGUGGCGAAGGCGACUCACUGGGUCUCAACUGACGCUGAUGCACGAAAGCUAGGGUAGCAAACGGGAUUAGAUACCCCGGUAGUCCUAGCCGUAAACUAUGAGCACUUGAUUGAAGGGUCCUCCAUAGCCUUUCAGUCGUAGCGAAAGUGUUAAGUGCUCCGCCUGGGGAGUAUGGUCGCAAGGCUG